rnacentral:misc_RNA from 1 species
GACAGCCAUGGCCAUCUCCAGAGUAAGCUCUUUCUCCACAUUCUUGAGUCAUUAUAUUCCACUCAAUCUAUUAUAUGCUCAUGAUGGGAAAACUGGGAAGGUGUAUCUAGUGGGGUGCUUUUUGUAUGCUGGAAAAUUAAAUUUCUUUCUUCAAGAUAAUAUAUUGAUUCCACUUUUGUCCUUUUCCUAACUGCAACUGGCUAUCUUCAUUAGAUGCAAGAAGCAGCAGAUUGUUUG